rnacentral:rRNA from 1 species
AUUGAACGCUGGCGGAAUGCUUUACACAUGCAAGUCGAACGGCAGCACGGGGGCAGCCCUGGUGGCGAGUGGCGAACGGGUGAGUAAUACAUCGGAACGUGCCCGGUCGUGGGGGAUAACGUAGCGAAAGUUACGCUAAUACAGCAUACGAUCUGAGGAUGAAAGCGGGGGACCUUCGGGCCUCGCGCGAUCGGAGCGGCCGAUGUCAGAUUAGGUAGUUGGUGGGGUAAAGGCCUACCAAGCCGACGAUCUGUAGCUGGUCUGAGAGGACGACCAGCCACACUGGGACUGAGACACGGCCCAGACUCCUACGGGAGGCAGCAGUGGGGAAUUUUGGACAAUGGGCGCAAGCCUGAUCCAGCCAUUCCGCGUGCAGGACGAAGGCCUUCGGGUUGUAAACUGCUUUUGUACGGAACGAAAAGGCUCUGGCUAAUACCUGGGGCUCAUGACGGUACCGUAAGAAUAAGCACCGGCUAACUACGUG